rnacentral:lncRNA from 1 species
UAGAAAAUAAGGAAUAUGGGGUUUGGGGUUUCGGGGUUGGGGUUUUGGGUUUCGGGUUUCGGGUUUCGGGGUUGGGGUUUCGGGUUUGGGGUUUCGAGUUUCGGGUUUCGGGUUUGGGGUUUCGGGUUUUGGGUUUCGGGUUUCGGGGUUGGGGUUUUGGGUUUCGGGGUUGGGGUUUCGGGUUUGGGGUUUGGGGUUUGG